rnacentral:rRNA from 1 species
AAAACAGUCCACUUUGUGGCCUGUUAUCGGAAUGGGUACAAUUUAAAUCUUUUAACGAGGAUCUAUUAGAGGGCAAGUCUGGUGCCAGCAGCCGCGGUAAUUCCAGCUCUAAUAGCGUAUAUUAAAGUUGUUGUGGUUAAAACGCCCGUAGUUGGUUUUUCGGUCUCGAAGCUCGGUAGCUCGUAUGGGCUUAACUGAGUCUUCCGGCCUAAAUUUCUUGUACUCUCCCGAUGCUCUUUAUUGAGUGUCUCGAGAUGCUAGAACGUUUACUUUGAAAAAAUUAGAGUGCUAAAAGCAGGCUAUACGCUUGAAUAAAGUGCAUGGAAUAAUGGAAUAGGACUUUAGUUUUAUUUUGUUGGUUUUCGAAAUUAAAGUAAUGAUUAAGAGGAACAGACGGGGGCAUUCGUAUUGUUGCGUUAGAGGCGAAAUUCUUGGAUCGCAGCAAGACGAACAACUGCGAAAGCAUUUGCCAAGAAUGUUUUCAUUAAUCAAGGACGAUAGUUAGAGGUUCGAAGGCGAUCAGAUACCGCCCUAGUUCUAACCGUAAACUAUGCCAACUAGCGAUCCGUCGGUGUUAAAUAUUGACUCGACGGGCAGCUUCCGGGAAACCAAAGUUUAUAGGUUCCGGGGGAAGUAUGGUUGCAAAGCUUAAACUUAAAGGAAUUGACGGAAGGGCACCACCAGGAGUGGAGCCUGCGGCUUAAUUUGACCCAACACGGGGAAAACUCACCCGGCCAGGACACAAUAAGGAUUGACAGAUUGAUAGCUCUUUCUUGAUUUUGUGGGUGGUGGUGCAUGGCCGUUCUUAGUUGGUGGAGCGAUUUGUCUGGUUAAUUCCGAUAACGAACGAGACUCUAGCCUAUUAAAUAGACGAUAUAUCUUAUUAGUAUAUCGAGCUUCUUAGAGGGACGAGCAGCUUCUAGCUGCACGAGAUUGAGCAAUAACAGGUCUGUGAUGCCCUUAGAUGUCCGGGGCUGCACGCGCGCUACAAUGAAAAUAGCAGCGCGUUUCGAAAACCUUUUCUGGAAAGUAUUGGUAAACGCGAAAUAUUUUCGUGAUUGGGAUAGGGGAUUGCAAUUAUUGCCCUUGAACGAGGAAUUCCCAGUAAAUUCGAGUCAUCAGCUCGAGUUGAUUACGUCCCUGCCCUUUGUACACACCGCCCGUCGCUACUACCGAUUGGAACAUUGCGUGAGAUCUUCGGACUGACGUCGAAACGAACGUAAAAAUUCGAUUCGCGCGUUGGAAAGAUGCUCGAAUGCAACGUUCUAGAGGAAGUAAAAGU